rnacentral:rRNA from 1 species
CCUACGGGGGGCAGCAGUGGGGAAUAUUGCACAAUGGGGGAAACCCUGAUGCAGCAACGCCGCGUGAGCGAUGAAGGCCUUCGGGUCGUAAAGCUCUGUCCUAAGGGAAGAAAGAUGACGGUACCAGAGGAGGAAGCCACGGCUAACUACGUGCCAGCAGCCGCGGUAAUACGUAGGUGGCGAGCGUUGUCCGGAAUUACUGGGUGUAAAGGGUGCGUAGGCGGGUAUAUAAGUCAGAUGUGAAAUACCGGGGCUCAACUCCGGGGCUGCAUUUGAAACUAUAUAUCUUGAGUGCAGGAGAGGAAAGCGGAAUUCCUAGUGUAGCGGUGAAAUGCGUAGAGAUUAGGAGGAACACCAGUUGCGAAGGCGGCUCUCUGGACUGUAACUGACGCUGAGGCACGAAAGCGUGGGGAGCGAACAGGAUUAGAUACCCGUGUAGUC